rnacentral:lncRNA from 1 species
UGAAAUUGGUUCUAAUGGAUUAAUACAAAACUUGGAAUUGAAAACCUCACCUUCCAAUAGCUCGUAGGAGAUAACUAAUGGAUAGAAAUCCAAAAGCUUAUGAAGUAUUGGCCAUUGGAAGUUGUCCAAAGGAAAUAAAAACCAAACUUUGCCUUAAUGAACCUUUAAUGAAAAACGUCUACCUUACCUUCCGAGUGCAAGAAAUUUCCAUGGGAUUGCAUCCAAGCCAUCACAUAACAUCCCUACUUUGAGAAACUAAAAGUUUUAGCCAAUCAUCCUCUAAGGAAAAGCCCUUAGAGGCUAUUUGGCUACUAAGAAAAUAGAAAGGGGAGAGCUGGAGAAGAGAGAAAAACAGAGCAAGGCUCCGUCUGUAUAUAUGCGUCUCUAUCUUCAAGAGGUGAUUUCCACCCCUUAUAUAGUCUUUACAAAAGCCAAAGCUUAUGAUUGGUUAGUUACAAGGAUAAUAAAGGAAAUUACAUCACAAAAUACAAAGGAAAAUAUCUAAAGUGGAGUCGGCAAAGGGCAGAGCAAAAUUCGCAACACGCAUGGGUUAUGCGAACCAAAUGCGAAC